GGUUGAUCCUGCCAGUAGUCAUAUGCUUGUCCUAAAGAUUAAGCCAUGCAUGUCCAAGUAUAAACCUUUAUACGGUGAAACUGCGAAUGGCUCAUUAUAUCAGUUAUAAUUUACUUGAUGAAUAUUUAUUACAUGGAUAACCGUGGUAAUUCUAGAGCUAAUACAUGCAUUGAGGGGUGACUUUGGUCAUUCUGUAUUUAUUAGAUAAAACCAAAGCAAGGGGUUAAACCUUUGCAUAUGGCGAGUCAUGAUAACUGGGCGGAUCGUAUGGCCUUGAGCUGACGACGCAUCAU
rnacentral:rRNA from 1 species